rnacentral:rRNA from 1 species
GGUUCGAUCCUGGCUCAGAUUGAACGCUGGCGGGAUGCUUUACACAUGCAAGUCGAACGGCAGCACGGACUUCGGUCUGGUGGCGAGUGGCGAACGGUACAGUAAUGUAUCGGAACGCCUAGUAAGGAUAACUACGCGAAAGCGUAGCUAAUACCGCAUACGCCCUUUCGGGGGAAAGCGGGGGGACCUUCUGGGCCUCGCACUAUUAGAGCGGCCGAUAUCGGAUUAGCUAGUUGGGGUGGGGGGUAACGGCUCACCAAGGGCGACGAUCCGUAGCUGGUUUGAGGAUGACCAGCCACAUCGGGACUGAGACACGGCCCAGACUCCUACGGGAGGCAGCAGUGGGGAAUUUUGACAAUGGGGAAACCCUGAUCCAGCCAUCCCGCGUGUGCGAUGAAGGCCUUCGGGUUGUAAAGCACUUUUGGCAGGAAAGAAACGGCACGGAUAAUAAUUCGUGCAGCUGACGGUGUACCUGCAGAAUAAGCACCGGCGAACACGCCAGCAGCCGCAAUACGUAGGGUGCAAGCGUUAAUCGGAAUUCAUUGGGCGUAAGCGUGCGCAGGCGGUUCGGAAAGAAAGAUGUGAAAUCCCCAGAGCUUAACUUUGGAACUGCAUUUUUAACUACCGGGAGCUGAGUGUCAGAGGGAGGUGGAAUUCCGCGUAGCAGUGAAAUGGGUAGAUAUGCGGAGGAACACCGAUGGCGAAGGCAGCCUCCUGGGAUAACACUGACGCUCAUGCACAAGCGUGGGAGCAAACAGGAUUAGAUACCCUGGUAGUCCACGCCCUAAACGAUGUCAACUAGCUGUUGGGGCCUUCGGGCCUUGGUAGCGCAGCUAACGCGUGAAGUUGACCGCCUGGGGAGUACGGUCGCAAGAUUAAAACUCAAAGCACCAGACGGGACUCCGCACAAGCGGGUGGAUGAUGUGGAUUAAUUGAUGCAACGCGAAAACCUUACCUACCCUUUGACAUGUCUGGAAUCCUGAAGAGAUUUGGGAGUGCUCGCAAGAGAACCGAACACAGGUGCUGCAUGGCUGUCAGUCAGCUCGUGUCGUGAGAUGUUGGGUUAAGUCCCGCAACGAGCGCAACCCCGUCAUUAGUUGCUACGAAAGCGCACUCUAAUGAGACUGCCGGUGACAAACCGGAGGGAAGGGGAUGACGUCAAGUCCUUUAAGCCCUUAUGGCAGGGCUUCACACGUCAUACAAUGGUCGGGACAGAGGGUCGCCAACCCAAGCGAGGGGGAGCCAAUCCCAGAAACCCGAUCGUAAACCGGAUCGCAGUCUGCAACUCGACUGCGUGAAGUCGGAAUCGCUAGUAAUCGCGGAUCAGCAUGUCGUGUGGUGAAUACGUUCCCGGGUCUUGUACACACCGCCCGUCACACCAUGGGAGUGGGUUUACCAGAAGUAGUUAGCCUAACCGUAAGUGAGGGCGAUUACUACGGUAGAAUUCAUGACUGGGGUGAAGUCGUAACAAGGUAG